CUUAGUGGUUUAUGUUGGGCCCAAGAAACGACAGAGAAAGCCCAUUAAGAAAAGUCACGUUAAUCUCACGUCCUACUUGCCCCGUGUUUAAAGUCUUCUGCGUCGUCUCGUCUUUCAAGUCCAAAAACAUUUCUCCAAGAUGAAGAUUAUGCAUUUAAGUCAAACUCGAAGAUGCACACGUGUUUCGAGUUAUCUUUUAUUUGGUUUAUUCCGAGAAGCGAAGCUUGGCUGUGUGUCUACUAAUCUCAAAUGGAUACAAUGCACACAAGGUGUUCGACACAAUUCCCCAAUGGGGUCAAUAUUGGUUCUCCGCUAUUUUUUUUUCUUCUCAUCACGUGGCACUCAUGUGAGUCCGUUUCUGUUAAUAUUCUGUUAUCUUCCCGCUUCUUCUCUCAAGAAGCAAAAAAAAAAAAAAAAACUCUCCAAGAAAAGCUGCAAGAAACCUUGAGAGUACAGUCACCAUGACAGACGAAGAGGUCAUGAAACACUUCGAAAAGGCUAAACUUCUCAACGAGAAAGGAGACUACAUCAAGGCCUUGGAGUUACUCGACGAUUUGAUCUCAGUCUACAGAGAAGACAAGAACCAAACCUUUCUUCAUUUCGGGCAAGGAGAUGUGUUCAUGCGUCCCAUAAAACCGACAUGGAGGUCGUCUUCUUGUUGGGUGCUGUAGGAUGCGUUUCUGAAUAUACGCCCUUGUUAGAGUUCUGUGCCCGUCUAUUCCACUUGUUGGCUCGUAGCCUUGGGUCAGCCUUGUAUUACAAGAAAACCCUCCGCAGAGCGAAACACAAACUCUCUUUAUCAUCUGUUCCUCAGCCAGAUGAUAACAAAGUUCGUGAUGAGUUUUCGCUUGAGAAUGUAACCAAAGAGGCAGAGUUCAUGAUAGCUGAAUCCAAGAUUAUGUUCCCACGGGACGGGUUGUCACAGAUUAGGUCUAUAAGGAAGUACGCGCCGCCACCGGAAGUUUUUGAUUCAAAGAAAGGUGAGGAUAGGGUUGGUGGUGAGCUGAGGUCGUAUUGGAUGGGUUUAGAUGUUAAAGUCAAGAGAGAUUUUAUGAAAGUGAGCGUUGAGAGGGUUAGAAGGUUUGUCAAGGGAGUACAUAAAAGCAAGGGAGUGGAUGUUUUGAAACACGUUAUGGCCAUUGCCAGGGAACACAAGAAAUGGAGAGUCUGGGUGUGUCGAACUAAAUGUGAUAAGGUGUGCUUUAGUGCUGAAGAAUGCAGGACUCAUCUUGAAGAGAAACAUGCUGCGAAUUUGGAAAAGGAUGUGGUCAUGAGGAUAGGGAUAAACUGGGCUUAUAAGAUACAGCAUGGGAGAUGGGAGCCAGUGGAUACAGUAGCUGCUGUUGAAAUGAUCAAAACUCAGCUGGAAGAUGUGAAAGCGUUUACAUCUAGAUCUAGGAAGAAGGGAUGGUCAGACCAAUGGCCUUUAGCCACUGCAGAUGAAGAGCGGAGUGAUUUACUCAAGGAAGUCAAGUUACUCCUUGUGUCACUAUGUGAGCAUCAGAUUCUCUCCUGCAGCAUUCGAGACUGGGUGAUGAGUUUUCCUGUUAAGCAUCUUAGGAAACUCGAAGUUUCAGAAGAGAGUAUUAAGGAUUGUCGCAUAGUGGAAACACCACAGAGCAUAUGUUUUCUGGAACGCGAUGAGCUCAAACAAAUCCGAGGGUUUCUAAAGAAGAUCAAGUGUGAAAGGCAUGAUGGUACAGAUCUGAUUGGCAGAGCAGUGGACAGUCUUUUGGAUCGCAUUCGUAUUAAAGAGAGUAUUGAAUUUGACGAGAAGUUUUCAUUGUUGUUUCUGGAUAAAAGUCUGUUGAAAAGCAAUAAUGCUCUAUCUGAUGAUGAUGAUUAUGAAGGGAAAAUCAAACUAAUCAAGGAUCCCGAUGUUCACUACGCCAAGGCACAGGCUCAGGGAGAUGAUAUCAUAUCCUGGUUAGGUGACCACUCUUCAGUAGAUAAGAGCUUUCCUGGACCUAUCAGGGAACACAAUCUUGUAAUCUGGGUGGCUGUUCUGAGAGCUCUUCAGUACACAUGUAAAACACUGGGAACCAAAUAUGCAAAGAAAGAGCAUGUCUUGGAGUACGAAGCAGCUCUUCUUGUCGUGGAGAACUUGUGUGAUGAAAGAAGAAAGACUGUUCAGGAAGAUCAGUGGAACAGCUAUGCAUCUCUUCUCUGCGAUAGAUUCGAAGAUAGAGUCCACGAUCCCCUCACUGCAAAACUAUUCUUGUGUGCAGUACGAGAUGUUUUCGAGGGAGGAUUGCAUCUGACAUUUGAUAUUCCCGACUUAGAAGAUUGCAUGAAUCUUAUACGCGAGCGUAGUAAAAGUCUCAGCAAUGAUAAAGUGUUGAAGUCCAUAGAACUUCUGAAAUCAAUGGUCACCAAAAAGGUUCUGCGGAUUGAUGCAAAGAUAUUGCUGAUUGAUAAUUCAAGGAUUAGAUUGUUAGACAAGCUCACAAGGCUUUCUGCUUUUGACAACCGCUCUUAUAUGCUUCAUUUUCUGAAACCUUUCUUGCUGAAUGAAAUUGUAAUUAUGAAGUCCAAAGUCAAGUCAGAUGCAGCAGAAGCAGAUCUUUUACUCAAAGAGGGGAAGAAGUCACUCAAAGAGGAGAAGAAGUCACAGGCCAAAAAGACGAGAAAAGAUAAAAACAUUAAGAAAAAAUCAACGAGCGUGGUCACUCCUGUUGAUAAGAUUGUUGAACAUGAAUCUUCUGUCAAACUUGAACCGGAAGAACAUUCUAAGGAACCGGAAAGAGGUGGAUUGGAAACUUCAUCCAACACUGACAUUCAAGUGGAAGCUACUGCAGUUGACUGUGACGAUAUGCAAAACAUGCCUGGAGAAGAUUCACUGUCGAAACAUUUGGAGCCAGCCCCUGAAGGAGCUGCAGCCAGAUUCAAUUCAGCUCUUGACAUGACGCUAAAGAACGAAAUUGUAAAUAUGGAAUUCAAAGCCAAGUCAGAUGCAGCAGAAGCAGAUCUUCAUGGGCAACAGAUAACUUCAACGAGCAUGGCUAGUCCCGUUGAACACAAACCUUCUGUCGAUCUUCAACCAGCAAAAACGAUGGAAGAAGAUUCCAUGGAAACAAAAGAUACUCUAGGAAGCGAAAAGGGUCCAUUGGAAACUUCAUCCAACAAUGACAUUCAAGAGGAAGCUAAUAAAGUCAACAGUGGUGAUAUGCAAAACAUGCCUGGAGAAGAUUCAGUCUCUGGAAAUUUGGAGUCAGCACUUGGAGGAGCUGCAACUAGAUAUAACUCAGCUCUUGACAUGACGCUAAAGGCCCUCGUGAACGUAAACGUUCUUAAAGAACAAGUUGUAAAGUACAAUAAACAACCAGUCCCUGACAACCUAGGAGAACAAGUUCUAUGUGCGCUACAAAGUUUAUUUACCUCUGUCGUGUCAGAGGAAAUAAAAACUGAGGGAGCCUACACUCUCAUCUUGAGAGACUUACUCGUGUCCCUAGAAGAAGUUGAUUCCAUGUCGAGUGGUGCUGCUGAGGUACUUGUACCCAUCCUUGAGUAUUGGCAUUGCUGGAAAAAUUCAGAAAGAGAUAGCUUGGUGGAUCGGCUUUUCACGUUGGAGGAAAAUGAAAGAAUGAGUUGUAGAAAAUGCGGAAGGAGCCCAAAUUAUCCAGAGCAGAGUUCUUACGGCAUUGUUGUGGCUUCAGAUUCAAUUAGAGACGUGAAUUGUGCUUUUGGGGAUAUAAAGUUUGUGGAUAUCCUUAAGGUUACCCGCAUGGAAUAUAAAAUGUUAUGUGACAUUAAAACUGGAGGUUGUGGAACGACAAACUUUGUUCAUCACGUUAUAAGUAGAUGCCCACCUAUCUUCACAAUCGUGUUAGAAUGGGAGAAGGGUGAAACUGAAGAGGAAAUUUCUGAAACAACAAAGGCUCUGGAGUGGGAGAUAGAUAUCAGCAGGCUGUACGAAGGCUUAGAACCAAACACUAACUACCGUCUUGUGUCAAUGGUUGGUUAUGGUGACGAAGACGAAGAACACAUAUGCAUGGCUUAUGAAAAGAACCAGUGGGUGAAUCUCAGACGUGAGUCUUUAGCAGGAGAGGUCGUUGGCAACAACUGGAAGAAUGUGGUCACGUUCUGUGGAGAAAGGAAAGUUCGACCAGUGAUUCUGUUUUACGAAGCUGUCUGAUCCAUGAUGGCCUAACAAGUGCGGAAGUUGUUCUGUUUCUGUUUCAAUUGCAGAGGAGUUAUGUUUCUGUUUCAUAUUAUGGUCAAUGAUGAAACCCAUUUUGUAGCCACAUUAACGAUAAUCUCAUAAACAAAUUGAAGGAUUUUUACUAAGAGAAGAAAAUGAUAGCAUAGCAGAAAAAAAGGAAAAUUUUAAUAUUUCAUAUCCAUAAAGGAAGCAUUCAAAAAAUCUCCCAAAGAGUUACAACAACAUGAUAUGGCCACAAAUAGCCGGCAAAGAAGAUGAGUGUUAAUCCAAGGCUUGUUACAUUGAUAGCAAGAACCCAAAAACCCUUGAAUAUAACCCCAAAACAAAACACACACACAAAAAAAAAAA